rnacentral:rRNA from 1 species
UACGAAGGGGGCUAGCGUUGCUCGGAAUCACUGGGCGUAAAGGGUGCGUAGGCGGGUCUUUAAGUCAGGGGUGAAAUCCUGGAGCUCAACUCCAGAACUGCCUUUGAUACUGAAGAUCUUGAGUUCGGGAGAGGUGAGUGGAACUGCGAGUGUAGAGGUGAAAUUCGUAGAUAUUCGCAAGAACACCAGUGGCGAAGGCGGCUCACUGGCCCGAUACUGACGCUGAUGCGCGAAAGCGUGGGGAGCGAUCCGG